GAACGAACGCUGGCGGCAGGCUUAACACAUGCAAGUCGAACGGUUGUAGCAAUACAGCAGUGGCAGACGGGUGAGUAACACGUGGGAACCUUCCUAGGGGUACGGAACAACUCAGGGAAACUUGAGCUAAUACCGUAUACGUCCGUGAGGAGAAAGAUUUAUCGCCCUUAGACGGGCCCGCGUCGGAUUAGCUAGUUGUGGGGUAACGGCCUACCAAGGCGACGAUCCGUAGCUGAUCUUAGAGGAUGAUCAGCCACACUGGGACUGAGACACGGCCCAGACUCCUACGGGAGGCAGCAGUGGGGAAUCUUGGACAAUGGGCGCAAGCCUGAUCCAGCCAUGCCGCGUGAGUGAAGAAGGUCUUCGGAUUGUAAAGCUCUUUUGCCAGGGACGAUAAUGACGGUACCUGGAGAAUAAGCCCCGGCAAACUUCGUG
rnacentral:rRNA from 1 species